GAUGAACGCUGGCGGCGUGCCUAACACAUGCAAGUCGAGCGAUCUUCUUCGGAAGAGAGCGGCGGACGGGUGAGUAACGCGUGGGUAACCUGCCCUGUACACACGGAUAACAUACCGAAAGGUAUGCUAAUAUGAGAUAAUAUGCUUUUAUCGCAUGGUAGAAGUAUCAAAGCUCCGGCGGUACAGGAUGGACCCGCGUCUGAUCAGCUAGUUGGUAAGGUAAUGGCUUACCAAGGCGACGAUCAGCAGCCGACCUGAGAGGGUGAUCGGCCACAUUGGAACUGAGGAACGGUCCAAACUCCUACGGGAGGCAGCAGUGGGGAAUAUUGCACAAUGGGCGAAAGCCUGAUGCAGCAACGCCGCGUGAGCGAUGAAGGCCUUCGGGUCGUAAAGCUCUGUCCUCAAGGAAGAUAAUGACGGUACUUGAGGAGGAAGCCCCGGCUAACUACGUGCCAGCCGCCGCGGUAA
rnacentral:rRNA from 1 species